UGAGGAAUAUUGGUCAAUGGGCGAGAGCCUGAACCAGCCAAGUCGCGUGAAGGAAGAAGGUUCUAUGGAUUGUAAACUUCUUUUGUAAGGGAAUAAAAAGAGUUACGUGUAACUUAUUGUAUGUACUUUACGAAUAAGGAUCGGCUAACUCCGUGCCAGCAGCCGCGGUAAUACGGAGGAUCCAAGCGUUAUCCGGAUUUAUUGGGUUUAAAGGGUGCGUAGGCGGACCCGUUAGUCAGUGGUGAAAGUUUGCAGCUCAACUGUAAAAUUGCCAUUGAAACUGCGGGUCUUGAGUGUAAAUGAGGUAGGCGGAAUGUGUUGUGUAGCGGUGAAAUGCUUAGAUAUAACACAGAACACCAAUUGCGAAGGCAGCUUACUGGGAUACAACUGACGCUGAGGCACGAAAGCGUGGGGAUCAAACA
rnacentral:rRNA from 1 species